rnacentral:rRNA from 1 species
AUUGAACGCUGGCGGAAUGCUUUACACAUGCAAGUCGAACGGCAGCACGGACUUCGGUCUGGUGGCGAGUGGCGAACGGGUGAGUAAUGUAUCGGAACGUGCCCAGUCGUGGGGGAUAACGUAGUGAAAAUUACGCUAAUACCGCAUACGAUCUAUGGAGGAAAGCGGGGGAGCGCAAGACCUCGCGCGAUUGGAGCGGCCGAUAUCAGAUUAGGUAGUUGGGGGGGUAAAGGCCCACCAAGCCAACGAUCUGUAGCUGGUCUGAGAGGACGACCAGCCACACUGGAACUGAGACACGGUCCAGACUCCUACGGGAGGCAGCAGUGGGGAAUUUUGGACAAUGGGCGAAAGCCUGAUCCAGCCAUUCCGCGUGCAGGAUGAAGGCCCUCGGGUUGUAAACUGCUUUUGUACAGAACGAAAAGGUUUCUACUAAUACUAGGAGCUCAUGACGGUACUGUAAGAAUAAGCACCGGCUAACUACGUGCCAGCAGCCGCAGUAA